AUGGCGAUGCCUGGAUCCUGCCCCUCGACGGUGGCCCCGUCAGCCGGCCAUCCUCCCAUCUGCCUCGCCGAUGCUUCAGGGCGAGCGGGAUCCCAAGACAUGCUGCGGCCGCGUCUGGUGCUCUUCGGCGACUCCAUCACCGAGCAGUCCUUCCGCCCUGGCGGUUGGGGAGCGGCCCUUGCCGAUACCUACUCCCGCAAGGCCGAUAUUGUUGUCAGAGGCUAUGGUGGGUACAACUCAAGAUGGGCUCUGUUCCUGAUCCAGCGCAUCUUUCCCCUGGUUGGCUUGCCACCCGUUGCGACGACUAUAUUCUUUGGCGCUAAUGAUGCAGCGCUUCUAGGACGAACAAGCCAGCGGCAACAUGUUCCGGUUCAGGAGUAUAAACAGAAUCUCAAAACAAUUGUUAAUCACCUGAAGGAUUGUUCCAAGUCCAUGGUAAUUUUGCUUAUCACUCCACCUCCUAUCGAUGAAGAUGGAAGAGAAAGAUAUGCACGAUCACAGUAUGGAGAAGAUGCGAGGAGGCUCCCUGAAAGAACAAAUGAAAUGGCUGGCGUCUAUGCAGGUCAAUGCAUAGAACUUGCCAAAGAAAUGGAUGUACAGUGUGUUGAUCUUUGGUCAAAGAUGCAAGCCACUGAAGGUUGGCAGAAACUUUACUUAAGUGAUGGACUGCAUCUGACGCCGGAAGGAAACGCUCUGGUCCACAAGGAGGUCGUCCAGACCUUGAGAGGCGCUGGUCUGAAAGCUGAAGAUAUGCCACAUGACUUCCCCCAUCAUUCCAAAAUCGAUGGGGUUUACCCGGAAAGGGCCUUCCAGUGA
rnacentral:rRNA from 1 species